rnacentral:rRNA from 1 species
GAUGAACGCUAGCUACAGGCUUAACACAUGCAAGUCGAGGGACCGGCGCACGGGUGAGUAACACGUAUCCAACCUGCCCUUUACUCGGGGAUAGCCUUUCGAAAGAAAAAUUAAUACCCAAUAUAAAGGAUGGGGAUGCGUUAGAUUAGGUUGUUGGUGUGGUAACGGCACACCAAGCCUUCGAUGGAGAGGGGGUCGGAGAGGAAGGCCCCCGAGCUUGGAACUGAGACACGGUCCAAACUAGUACGGGAGGCAGCAGUGAGGAAUAUAGUUCAAUGAGCGCUAGCCUGAACCAGCCAAGUAGCGGGAAGGAUGAAGGCGUAUGAGUCGUAAAUUUCUUGUAUAUAAGAAGAUGUAUUAUAUGAAUAAGGAUCGGCUAACUCCGUGCCAGCAGCCGCGGUAAUUC